CCAGACUCCUACGGGAGGCAGCAGUGGGGAAUAUUGCACAAUGGGCGCAAGCCUGAUGCAGCCAUGCCGCGUGUGUGAAGAAGGCCUUCGGGUUGUAAAGCACUUUCAGCGGGGAGGAAGGCGUUAAGGUUAAUAACCUUGGCGAUUGACGUUACCCGCAGAAGAAGCACCGGCUAACUCCGUGCCAGCAGCCGCGGUAAUACGGAGGGUGCAAGCGUUAAUCGGAAUUACUGGGCGUAAAGCGCACGCAGGCGGUCUGUCAAGUCGGAUGUGAAAGCCCCGGGCUCAACCGGGGAACUGCAUUCGAAACUGGCAGGCUGGAGUCUUGUAGAGGGGGGUAGAAUUCCGGGUGUAGCGGUGAAAUGCGUAGAGAUCUGGAGGAAUACCGGUGGCGGAGGCGGCCCCCUGGACAAAGACUGACGCUCAGGUGCGAAAGCGUGGGGAGCAAACAGGAUUAGAUACCCCAGUAGAA
rnacentral:rRNA from 1 species